AUGGCCGUAGCUCGGAGCAUCCUGGUUGCACUGCUCGCCGCCAGUGGCGUAGCUAGCCCAACAUGCCAGGAUUAUGGGGAAAUUCCAGGGUGGUCCAUGGACCACCCUGUCCACCCCCUAGAUACGCCACUGCUCGCCGCCGUUUGCAUUGCCAUCUCCUCGGCCGCCGCGGCGACCAGCGUUAACACCACCGACUUCGUAGGCUGUCUCGCCCUCCACCUUCCUCCGGGGAUCGUCUACACGCAGUCAUCGGAAUCCUACUCGUCCGUCCUCGAGUUCUCCAUCAAGAACCUCCGGUUCGUCACGCCGGCCACCCCGACGCCCCUCGUCAUCGUCAAGGCCACCCACGCCACACACGUCAGGGUUGCCGUGCGCUGCGGCGCGGCGCACGGCGUCCGCGUGCGCCCGCGCAGCGGUGGCCAUGACUACGAGGGGCUCUCCUACCGCUCCCUCGACGCGGCGCGCUCUUUCGCCGUCGUCGACCUGGCGGCGCUGCGCGCGAUCCGCGUCGACGUCCGGAGCAGGUCGGCGUGGGUCGAGUCCGGAGCCACGCUCGGCGAGCUUUACUACGGCAUCGCCAACAAGAGCGCGCGCCUCGGGUUCCCCGCCGGUGUCGGCCCGACGGUGGGCGUCGGCGGGCACCUCAGCGGCGGCGGCUUCGGCCUGAUGCUACGGAAGCACGGCCUCGCCGCGGAUCACGUCGUCGACGCCAUCAUGGUGGACGCCAAGGGGAGGCUCCUGGACAGGGCUGCCAUGGGGGAGGACCACUUCUGGGCCAUCCGGGGCGGCGGGGGCGGGAGCUUCGGCAUCGUGGUGUCCUGGAAGCUCCUGCUGGUGCGCGUGCCGGCUACCGUCACCGUGUUCACCGUCCACCGGCCAAGAAACCAAUCCGCCAGCGAUCUCCUCACCAAGUGGCAGCACGUGGCGCCGGCCCUGCCCCGCGACAUCAUCCUCCGGGUGGUCGUGCAGAACCAGGACGCGCAGUUCGAGUCCCUGUACCUCGGCAGGUGCGCCGGCGUCGUCGCGACGAUGACCAAGAUGUUCCCGGAGCUGGGCGUGACGCGGCGAGACUGCAUCGAGAUGAGCUGGAUCGAGUCCGUGCUCUACUUCGCGUUCUACGGCACGGGGAAGCCGAAGGAGCUGCUCCUGGACAGGGGCACCAAGCCGGACAGGUACUUCAAGGGCAAGUCGGACUUCGUGCACGAGCCCAUCCCGAGGGACGUGUGGGAGAGCACGUGGAGCUGGUUCCUGGAGGACGGCGCCGGGCUGCUCAUCCUCGACCCCUUCGGCGGCAGGAUGGGCCGCGUCGCGUCGUCGGCGACGCCGUUCCCGCACCGGCACGCGCUCUACAACCUGCAGUACUACGGCUUCUGGUGGGACAACACGACGGAGGCGUCGGAGCAGCAUAUGAGCUGGGUCAGGGGGGUGCACCGGGAGAUGGAGCCGUACGUAUCCAAGAGCCCCAGGGGCGCGUACGUGAACUACAAGGACCUGGACCUCGGCGUCAACGAGUAUGGUGGCGACGGCGGUGGGACCAGCUACGAGACGGCGAGAGUUUGGGGCGAGGCGUACUUCAAGGAUAACUUCGAGAGGCUUGCGGCGGUGAAGGCCAAGGUGGACCCCAGUGAUUUCUUCAGGAACGAGCAGAGCAUUCCUCCUCUUGGAUUACCAGGUGGCAAUGGCACGACGCAGAAUUGA
rnacentral:rRNA from 1 species